rnacentral:Y_RNA from 1 species
GGCUGGUCCCAGUGCAGUGGUGUUUACAAUUGAUCACAACUAGUUACAGAUUUCUUUGUUCCUUCUCCACUCCCACUGCUUUGCUUGACUAGAACUUAA